GAGGGUGUAGCUCAGCAGUAGAUCGUGUGCUUAGCAUGCACCAGGCCCUGGGUUCAAUCCCCAGUGCCUCCA
rnacentral:tRNA from 1 species